GCCCCAGUAGCUCAAAUGGACAGAGCGACACUCUCCUAAAGUGUAGGUUAUGCGUUCGACUCGCAUCUGGGGUA
rnacentral:tRNA from 1 species